UUCCUAGUGGCUCAGCUGGUAAAGAGUCUGCCUGGAGUGCAGAAGACCUGGGUUCGAUCCCUGAAUUGGAAA
rfam:TPA: Bos taurus chromosome 17, whole genome shotgun sequence.